rnacentral:rRNA from 1 species
GACGGAGGAUGCAAGUGUUAUCCGGAAUCACUGGGCGUAAAGCGUCUGUAGGUUGUUUAAAAAGUCUGCAGUUAAAGGUUGAAGCCUAACUUCAAAAAUGCCGUAGAAACUUUUAAACUAGAGGAUGGUAGGGGUAGAGGGAAUUUCCAGUGGAGCGGUGAAAUGUGUAGAUAUUGGAAAGACCACCGAUGGCGAAGGCACUCUACUGGGCCAUGACUGAUGGAGAGACGAAAGCUAGGGGAGCAAAUGGG